rnacentral:rRNA from 1 species
UACGGGGGGGGCAAGCGUUGUUCGGAAUUACUGGGCGUAAAGGGCUCGUAGGCGGCCCACUAAGUCAGACGUGAAAUCCCUCGGCUUAACCGGGGAACUGCAUCUGAUACUGGAUGGCUUGAGAUUGGGAGAGGGAUGCGGAAUUCCAGGUGUAGCGGUGAAAUGCGUAGAUAUCUGGAGGAACACCGGUGGCGAAGGCGGCAUCCUGGACCAACACUGACGCUGAGGAGCGAAAGCCAGGGGAGCAAACGGG